rnacentral:rRNA from 1 species
AUACGGAGGGCGCAAGCGUUGUUCGGAAUCACUGGGCGUAAAGCGCGUGUAGGCGGCUCAGCAAGUUGGUUGUGAAAUCCCGGGGCUCAACCCCGGAACUGCAACCAAAACUGCUGAGCUUGAGUCUCGGAGAGGGUGGCGGAAUUUCCGGUGUAGAGGUGAAAUUCGUAGAUAUCGGAAGGAACACCAGUGGCGAAGGCGGCCACCUGGACGAUGACUGACGCUGAGACGCGAAAGCGUGGGUAGCAAACAGGAUUAGAAACCCCAGUAGUCC